rnacentral:lncRNA from 1 species
AGAAAGCGGAGAAUCCAGGGCAGAGUUAGAGUCAGACCUAGGCUCUCGCAGAGAACUGCAUCGCGCUCCCAGCUCUGCUGCCUCGGUGCGGGGACGGGGCUCUGCAUGAGGACUGGGAAUGUAAGUCCCGGGCCUGGACAGGCGCCCCUGGGAGCUAGCCUGGAGGAGAUUCAGUAGAAGGCUGAGGAGUCGGCUUGGAGGGUCUCGGCAAGGCGGCGCGGAUGGAGAUGAAGCUGCGAAGAAUGCUGAGAAAGAGCGGCCGGGGGCCUUGGAGGGAAGCUAGGGAAACGCUGCGGGGGCAGCCGAGGCCGUCGGCGCCCCGGGAGAAGAGACCUUCACUGCUUCUAUCAGUCACCAUAUCUGAAUCUUGGCUUGCCACUCAAUCCUCCAAUAUCGACCAACAACAGGAGAUUCUCUCUAUCUGAGGGGGGAGGUGUGUUUCCCUGACUAGACUCUAAAUACAAAUCCUCCACUUCUCCAUCUGUCUCUCCAGUGAUCUCAGAGGCAUGGUCUUAACACCGCGCACAGUUCCUUGCAAGUUGAAGAGUAGACCCAAAUGAUCAGUUCUAAAAUUCUAUUCUUAUUGAAGAUUACUGGUGGAAAUAUCAAUGCAAACAAAAUGAAAAAGUUCAACAAUGAUUAAUACUGCAUUUCAACAGAAGAAUCAAAUCAUCUUGACAAAACUUCAAUGGGCAAAAUUUGCCUUGGGGAAUUUUAUGCAGGGGAAUCCUUGGGUCUGAUGUGUGGUGGGCUUUGGAUGUGUUGUGUAGCUCAGUGUCCCUUCCUGCUACUCCUAGUCAUCUCCAGAAACUCAGACCACCCAUCUACUAAAGGCAGGUGGAUGAGCAAGGGGGCCUCGGAGGCAUUCCGGAUCACACUGAACCUGAGCCCCACCGCCUGACCCACUCAGUGUCACUGUUAACAGAAACUCGCUGCCAUCUGGCCUCAGGCCUGCCUCCUUCCUAUAGAACUUGACACUGGAAGCACCAGGCGAGCUGGACCUUCUGCUGCUACUGCACUCCCAUGAUGCAGCCUGAGAAUGAAGCCCACCAGAGUGACAGAGAGCAGACCUGAGUGGUGAGCUGGUGACACAGGGUGUGGGUGGUGUCCCUUGAGCUUCGACACCACGCCACACCUGAAACCAGCCUGACAUCCAUGAUUUUGCUUUUUUGCUUAAACCAGUCUGCGUCAUUUUCAACAAAAGAGUUCUACUAGAUAUGACAAAUUUCUCUAGAAGACCUAAGAAGUGAAAGACUUGAAGCUAUUCCAGUGGUUCAGGAACUAGGACACUGGUAGGAAACUGGAAAGAAGGCAUCAGAGUUAAGGAAAUAUUUAUGAGGUCAACUCUGGAAGUCUUGGUUACUGAGUGAAUACAGUGGCUGAGAGGAAUGGAAGCAUCCAACCAAAUAAAAAAAGAUGGUGCUGAGAUUUGGGUUAUGAGGUCAAUGACUGAAGCAAUGCGAUUAACUGAGUUAGGAGUCUCAAAUAUAGGAUGAGUGCAGAGUUGAGGAUGAAGAAUUCUGCUUUGGACACAAUGAGUGUGAGGUGCCCAAGGAUAACCCAACGGGAAGCAGUCACACCAAAGCAACAGGGUGUGCACCUGAAACUCAGAAGGGUGAUUGGGCUAUGGUGAAGAUUCCUGAUCACCCAUAAAUGAAUUCAUUAAAAGCAUGAGAGUGAGUGGAGGGGCCCCUAGAAUAUGGUGGGUGCAUGAGACUAACCCUAGAUUGGGGAUAGCUCCCUGGGAAAUCCAAGGGACAAGGUGAGGAGGAGGAGGCGGAGCCCACCAAGGAAACUAGAAAGAGACCGCUGGAGAGGUCCGAGGACAGCAAGGAGCACAGCCUUCAAGUCUGGGAGCCAACUAUCCAAGAAGAGAGUGGUUUGCUAUGGAUGCCGUGGGCCACCACGUCCCAUCUAGGAAAGCAAGUUGAGGUCUCUCUUGAAUACAUUGGGAUUGAUUACCCAGACUUUAAAGAAUCUAUGUCCCCUACUUCCCUUCAUUCACUCUGCUCUUUACCUUCUCCUCUUCCCUGGUCACCAGCACCUCUGCUAAAGGGUGGAGAAAGGAACUUCUGAUCAGUUACAGAAAAGCUUUGGGGUUACGUGGUGCAAGCUGCUCUGCCUCUGUUUGUGAAGAAAUUAGACUAUGGCCAGCCAUGUGAGUGGCAUCACUUUGGUUUCUGGAGCAAUAGUUAGUAGCAACUUUUAGAGGUGGUCAUUUCGGUUCCCUUCUGGAAAGUGAUUCGUGUUUAAGAAAAAUAGAUGCAACGUUGCUAAGUACACCUAACAUUUAAACAGUCUCCAGCAGAUAAAUGCUGAUACUGACACUUCUCACCAGAAAAAGAGAAAUACCCAUCAUGAGGAAGAGAAAUGACUUUUGUUCAGUUAUGCUCCCGGGUCCCCUUUCACUGGAGGGAUAUCUCAGCUUUCUGAGCCCCUGGUUACUGCAAUCCUCGGUUCCAGAACCCAGCAAUUCCUAUCAUCACAAUUGUUUCAAGUCUUAUCCAAGCCCUGUAUAUUUCAGAUCAUCCUUAAUUUCUUGUUCUGUACCCAGAGGAGAUCAGGAAAACCUUUAAGUCUCUAUGUGAGGCAAAUACAUCCUCCUCACUGCCCCAGCCCCAUGUGAUUGAUGAAGCAACUGAGGAAGAGAAGUAGGGUGCUUCUGGCACUGGAGGAGCGCAGUGCUGAGAAACUCCGGGCUCCAUUCGGAAAUAGCACUGAUUUCUUAGUGUACUUUUUUUUGGUGUUAAUAUAGAAAACAUCAAAAACACAGUUAAAAGAAUGAAGCAUGUCUACAUACGUGUGGCCAGAAAGACUGACCAGAAGCUGGUAGCAGUGAGGGAUGACAGUGCUUGCCCCUGGGUUGAAUAGUGGAAGAGUUAGGGGGGAAACAGUCUGCUCUUUGAGACCCUUUCAAUUUCAUGUGAUGGAUUUACAGAGACAGAUGAAUUAAACAUUAUAUAAAAAAGGAAUAAAACCACUGGUAGGAUCUGUAUUCCAGGAAGAAAAAAGCAUAUUACAUAAUAGGUCAAUGCACAGAAAUAAAAAAAGGAAUUUAACUAGA